rnacentral:rRNA from 1 species
ACUCGAGUGGCGAACGGGUGAGUAACACGUGGGUGAUCUGCCCUGCACUCUGGGAUAAGCCUUGGGAAACUGGGUCUAAUACCGGAUAGGACCAUGCUUUAGUGUGUGUGGUGGAAAGUUUUUUCGGUGUAGGAUGAGCCCGCGGCCUAUCAGCUUGUUGGUGGGGUAAUGGCCUACCAAGGCGGCGACGGGUAGCCGGACUGAGAGGUUGGUCGGCCACAUUGGGACUGAGAUACGGCCCAG